AUUGAACGCUGGCGGCAGGCCUAACACAUGCAAGUCGAGCGAGUGGCGGACGGGUGAGUAAUGUCUGGGCAACUGCCUGAUGGAGGGGGAUAACUACUGGAAACGGUAGCUAAUACCGCAUAACCUCCGAUGUGCCCAGAUUGGAUUAGCUAGUAGGUGGGGUAAUGGCUCACCUAGGCGACGAUCCCUAGCUGGUCUGAGAGGAUGACCAGCCACACUGGAACUGAGACACGGUCCAGACUCCUACGGGAGGCAGCAGUGGGGAAUAUUGCACAAUGGGCGAAAGCCUGAUGCAGCCAUGCCGCGUGUGUGAAGAAGGCCUUCGGGUUGUAAAGCACUUUCAGCGAGGAGGCGUUACUCGCAGAAGAAGCACCGGCUAACUCCGUGCCAGCAGCCGCGGUAAUAC
rnacentral:rRNA from 1 species